ensembl:lncRNA
CAUAACAAGGGAAGGCAGUUCAACAUGCGCUGCACAGCACGUCCGCGAAUCAAACGCUGAGAUGUGAGACCGGGCCUAGCUGGGGAAGUAAUAACAAACCUGGCAAUGCAAGCUCUUCAAAAGUCUGAGCGACCCCAUCCUCUCCAAUCACGCCCGACUGUAAUCUCACACUGCUUGAUGGGAUCUCACUGGGCAAUAACAUUUUUCAGUGUCUUGUUACAUCAGACAAUCAGUAUGUAAAAGGUUCUUGUUUGAUUUAGAUUUAUAGAUGCAGAUGUCCAUACAUACUGUGCCAUUUUUUUUUUUUUAAUCCAAUAUGUCCAUUUUCACCAUCCACUAACUGCAUAAUAAAAUGUAUAUGAACUUGUGACACAAUGGCAAUGGCUAUAUCAAGACUAGAAGACCAGUAUUUCAGAUUUAGCCAAAAGGAUGACCUGGCCUGACACCAUGAGCUGACUUAGAGCAUUCAAAUUAUUUUGGGUCCCAAGUUUCUGUCUCAUAGCUUGGAAAAGUCACUUGCUUGAUUUAGAAUCGGUGACCUUUCUUUAGGUGUCCAUCAAAAGUCGCAGAGUCAUAAAACUAAUAAUGGUCCCUGUGGAUCUCAAAGGAUCCAAUUUCAGAGGUUGGGGGCAGACUUGCCCCACCAGCUUUCAAUGGACUUGAUUUAAUGCUAGGGUCGGCCAUGUGUUUCCAAAGGCAUUCAGUCUUAUAUUCCUUGAAAUGGUCUUCACAUCCCAACAGCAAUGAAUAAAUUAAAUGCUUUGAUAAAAAAAUCAAAAAAAUCUGUAAACAGCUUACUUGCCUGUGUACCGUCCUACCUGCCUACCAGCAUGCACUCUGCCCGUGCAAUCACCAAGCGUGAUCAGAGUCUUCCACAAGGCUAGGCAGACAUAUUGCUAAAGCUAGCGAGCUAGUCACACAAGAACUGCAGAGAAAGUGCAGCCAAAAUUUCCAGUUCCGACCAAAUACCUACAAAAACUUGCCUACAACCAAAAAGAGGUUGGAUAAAGCAAGAAGUCAAACUAGAUUCAACAUCAGUAUGGCUUUUUAACAAUAAUAAAACCAAUUUAUAUCUACAGCACCUUUCAGGAGCCCAAGGUGCUUUACAGAAUGCAUACAGAACAGACAGGCAUUGAGAGGCUGAGAGCAGACUGCUUUGGGAAGCCAUGCUGUGCGGUCAGCAGUCGCCGUGGACCAGCAUUACAUACAGUAGAUUUGGAAGGUCAGUGUUGGUAUCCCCACACUAAGGGACAACCAGAGGUUGAGGGAAGGGGCUGGGAUUUUCUUCAGUUAUACACUUUAAAAAUCUAGUUUGCUGUUGCUGUCUUCUCCAACAUUGCCUUCCCUACUUGUAAAUUAAUACACCAACCUGUCUGCCACAGAUAGUCAAAAGGGGACUUUGGACCGCUAACUGAAGGGGGUGGGGGCGCGAAGGGGUGCUGAUUGCAGACAGAUGAAUUGCCCGGUCUUAAAAACUUUUAAUGGCACUGGUAUGAAAGGCGCUCAACAUUUGCCCCAGCGUGCCAAUGAAGUCACCAACUUUGAACAAGACAGCCUUGUUUACCGCUCUGUUUACUGAUGUUUUGAAGACACGUGGCUGCCAUCACAUGCCACUAACUUUCACUGCCAAAACAACUAAAAUAGUCAAAUAGUGUGUGUAUUCCUCCAGCAUUUUUUCCAAAUGGAGACAUUUUGGAUAGCUUGAAUAAUGUCUCCCAGAGAUACCUGAAUGGCGGUAACCUCUAAUUUGAGCCUCCUCCUUCUUGAAUAACACACUAGAGAUGACAAGAUGGUAUAGUGGAGCUGGAAUGCUAAGUAGGUGUUCGCCUGAAACACACUCUCGUUUUUUUGGUUUUUAAGAGGGGGAUUUCUCCCAGUUUCUCUCAAACACGAAGUCACCCCCGAGGGAACAGGAGCCAGGGAGGGAGCAGAACAAACCGCUCAUCAUGUAACAAACUACAGGCUCCGCAGAGCAAAGGCUCCUCGCCACAACAAACAUUGAAGGGAAGGCAUGCCCUUAAAAUCCGCUGCACUUGCCAAAUAAUAAUAAUAGACUGAUGUGGGACGGUAGCGCGCUCGUUUGUUCCCGUUUGAAGGGCACAGCGUGGCAUGUCUUUCUCGGUACAUUUCCGGGUUGGCAUCUUUGCUAAGCCCCCCCCAAACGCCACCCCAUCCUGUACCAACCCCAUUCCACCCUGUCUAGUCUUGGGUCGUGUUUUGACUGGUCUCUUAAUAUACCCCCCUGGUUCUGCCUUGUGACUCUUCAGCAACACCCCUAAAUGUGGUGCACGGGGUGGGGGUUGGGGGGGGGAAUCAAAACUUAAACUGCGACUAAAAUGGAAGGAAUUCACAGCCCCAAAAACCAGAGGCGCGUGACACGGCUGCCUCACCACCCCCCCAUCUCCCCAAAAGGUGAGACAUCUUAAUUGUAUAGCCCUCAGCAAAUCUAAAAGCCAUAAAAGGAACGACCCAAAGGAGAAUGCAUCAUACCUGUGUCUCGUUUGCCUGUUUGAAAGCUUUAUGGGUUGGCAUUAAAAUACCAAACGAGACAAUCACAUCACGUCUCCUAAACGCACCGAUGGUAAAUAAGUGAAUACAACUACAACCACUGGUAGACAGGUUCUCGAAGUGCACAAGACGGUGGUAUGAAAAACUGACAGAUUAAAAAUGGCCAAAGGCUACUACUGCACUGUGGAGGAAGUGUAGAUCUAAGCAUGCAUGGUGACACAUUAUGGCCAGUUCUUAUUUUUCUUCCUUUCUCUUUUAAGAGAAAAUAUUUAAAGGAUUGAAGUCUUUGAAGUAGCGUUUGUUUUGCCUCGCCUUUCAGUCUCAGAAUGGAUGUGGAUUUUAACUAGGGAACAUAUUUUACAGUUUCCUCACAACCAUGCCCUCUUUAUGAUUACCAAUCCUAUGGCUUUAGAGCUUUAUUUUCCACCCCGAGACAAUAAGGAAACUUUUUAAAACCGAGAAAACAUUCAAGUGGUUAGGGUGUUCAAUAAGUAAACCAAACAAAAAAAGAAGAAAUAUUGAGCUAAUUUCUAAAAACAAUUGCAGUCUCCCUACUUAUCCAUUCAUUAGUCUUGCUGCUUAUUUGUGUUAGCCGCUGUGUUAAUGUACCUGUUGACAUUUCAAUUUGAAUGUAUCUAGCUGCUAUCUGAUGAUUUAAUUUCUCUCCGGGGACUAAUAAAUUCAACUAAAUAUAACUAUACAAUAUAUAACUAUACAUAUACACUAUAUAUAUCCUAACUUGCACUUCUAUUAGUACUUAACUUGCACUUAUAGCAGUUACAUUCAUGCACUUUUUUCUUUUUCUUAUGUAAAAUAGUAUUUAUUGUUACACUAGGUCUCUAUUGCUUGUAGCUUGACUGUUCUCUCCCUUGUACGUCGCUUUGGACAAAAGCGUCUGCUAAAUGACUAAAUGUAAAUGUAAAUGUAAUAUACUAUAUACCCUCCCCAACACACACACCUCCCAGUACCAGCUGAGUGACAGCUCCUCCAGAAGCACACAGAGGUGGCAUCCUUAGGUUUCUGUUUGGGAUGGAUUAGCUUUCCUUUCUGGUGUGCAGCACAGGUGAGAUGCUCCAUUUGAGGUGAAAACUCUUAAUCUCCUUGCAACGUGACACCACAGAGGUACAGUGACGUGAAGAAUAUUCGAGGAGGGGUCUACUUGUACAUACAAAGCUUUUAUUCCACACAAUGGCGAUGACUAUCGGGACGUGUAAGUCGAAAAUCUCCCCAGGAUUCACUUUCAAGAACUCAUUGUCGUCCCAAAAAAAGAGAAGUGUCAGAAGCAAACAAAACAAUUUGUAGGCGCAGUUAGCUUUUCUUAAGGUUUAGAUCGGUCUCUGAAAGUGUUCUUUUUUAGCGCAGCAAACAAACAGGAGCCAAGGACGGAUAAACAAUGAGAGCUUUUUCCACCAAUAAAAACCUGGUUUCUAUUAUUUGGUUGCUGAUGCUGAAGGACUCUGAGGCUUUGGCCCUGAAGGACAAAUCUGUUACUUUUCACUGAUCUACAAAUCCAUGACAAUCAAAUUACAUUUCUCACAGUAAGAAGCAGGCAACUAAGUAAAAAGCAAGCUAGCACCAGAAUAAUGACUUAGAAGAACACGAAAAACACAAAAGGUCACAAAAGUAGCGAGCCUACCACUGUCAACACCACAUGCAACCAUGAACAUGACAUACAACCAAGCCACUGUGCUUUGAACCAAGCUACAGCAGUGCUUACGGUUUGUGGGGUCAAUCCAAACUCAGUCUCGGCUCAGCAAGUUCCUCCCCAAGGGACAAUCGCGAAUGAGACCCCCUCGCCAGUAGUCAGGGCGGUCAUGUAACUACUUUAGGAGACGACCCUGAUGAGCACUCACAGCUGCUUGUCCCCUUAUAUAAGGCCAACAUAUCUGUGC